AACGAACGCUGGCGGCAUGCCUAACACAUGCAAGUCGAACGAGACCUUCGGGUCUAGUGGCGCACGGGUGCGUAACGCGUGGGAACCUGCCCUUAGGUUCGGAAUAACUCCCCGAAAGGGGUGCUAAUACCGGAUAUUGUCUUCGGACCAAAGAUUUAUCGCCUUUGGAUGGGCCCGCAUUGGAUUAGCUAGUUGGUAGGGUAAAAGCCUACCAAGGCGACGAUCCAUAGCUGGUCUGAGAGGAUGAUCAGCCACACUGGGACUGAGACACGGCCCAGACUCCUACGGGAGGCAGCAGUGGGGAAUAUUGGACAAUGGGCGAAAGCCUGAUCCAGCAAUGCCGCGUGAGUGAUGAAGGCCUUAGGGUUGUAAAGCUCUUUUACCCGGGAUGAUAAUGACAGUACCGGGAGAAUAAGCUCCGGCUAACUCCGUG
rnacentral:rRNA from 1 species